UUGCAGGGCAUAGCCCUGAGCUAUUAUGUCCAGGACUCGACAGUCCGAUAUAACCCUCAACCAGGCUGAGUGCUAAGGAAAAAGGCAGUUGAGAAAAGGUGGCAGAUCCGGGGAAUUGGCUGGGGCAUCACUCUUGACCCCUCCAUCAAUACGAGCGCUUCUGCCCCGUCAAAUGUUUAGCCUGGUGAGGCUGCGUGGGCAAGCAGGAGGCAGAAGGGCGGUGACGACCAAAGCUGGUGUCCAUAUCCUUCUCCUGGCAGGUCUGGAACCAGGUCAGGCAGACCUUGGCAGUGGAGGCAGCCAGAAUGUCUUACGCAUUGAUUGCGGCGUGUGGCUGCCCAGGGAAUAGAGGGUGAUUAACAAGCAGUACCUAGCUAGGAGGAAGAUGCUAGGAAGAUGACAGAACUGUGGAGCAGAGAACAGCCAUGCCAAAUGAGGCAUCUGUCACAGAAUCUUGCACCAAGGCGUAAUGGGAAGAAAUGCGAUGUACUGAACUCCAUGUGGCCGCCCUACAUAUAUCCAAAGUAUAUUCCAAGAGAUGAGAAAACAAUUGAGGCUCCGAUUCAGACCAUGUGGCUGUAAGAAGGAACUGCGGGCACAGGCAGUCCGCCCUGCCCUUUAUCACUUCAGAUGAAAUCAAGGGUGCAUGCGCAGACCCAGAGUGCAUUCACAGACCAAUGCAUGCUGCUACUACCAAAAUCUCCAGAUGCAUGGCACAUGCAUAUUACCCUCCACAGAAUAAAAUAGGGAUCAUCAUUUGAAGAAAUAAAUAUUAUAAAGGAGGAAGCUGAAAGAGUAUUAAUGCAUCCAAUUCCUCCCAUGGAGCUCCUGGGUGUUUCUUUUUGUCCAAUGGAAAAAAAAUAACGUGCCUACAGUGGUGGCUGUGUGGAGGGUCUGGACUAUCCUAGCUAAGAGGUACCAAUUUCAUCAUCACCACAAAGUACCUAUCAAGUGUAACCCAAACUUGCAACUAUAAUUACAAAGAACUAGCUGAGCAAGGGCAUGAAACAGAUUUCCCAAUUAGUCAAGGAUAAAGGCUCUUCUCUCUUUUCUAAACACUAAAGAAACCAUAUGACCUGCCACCCUCAGUAGAGUGGCCGUCCUUACAACUAACACACUUGCUAAUGUAUCAGUUUGGUCUGGAUGCCCUAGGACUGUCACAGGCCCCAGACCUACUAGGGACCUUGGAAUGCUUCAUAAUUUCCCCAAGCCUACGUUCACUAUGUAUGCUUUACUAUCAAAGAAAAUAUCCAGUGGUCUGGAGUGCUUUGUGAAAGCAUAGGAAGGGGAGAUAUCACAGCCCCUAAAAGAAUCCCAGCGGCAGACUAUACAUGUUUAAAAUGCUUCUGUGGAUCUCAGGCUACACUCAAUACAGCAAAGAAGAUUCUAUUCAAAAUAUACUCGAUGACACAAAGGUUGAGCAAGAUAGGGACUUGCCCUCUGAUGUUUGCUGGCACUGUAAUGAAGAAAAAGGAACUCUGAUACCUAUGCUAUGGGACUGUCCAACUGUCAGGCAGCCGUGGAAAGAGGUGGGCACAAGAGUGAAAAUAGUGCUUGGUUUCAGCAACCAAAUCUUAGCUGAAAGUUAUAUCAUAGGUUCUGUACCUACUACACUGGGAGUUAUUCCAUCACAAAAACUUGGGUUCUUAAGGACUGUUAUGACUACCAACUGCAUGAUUUUACAAAAAUGGAGAAGUAGGGUUAUACCCAGAAUACAGCAAUGCCAUUUGGACCUGUAUGAGUUGGCAGUGAAAAAAAUAAGCGCUUAUAGACAUGGAGAGCAAUUAUAUGAAUUUGAAGACAUCUGGACUCCAUUUCUUGAUACAUUUGGAUAAAGAAUGCUGAGAUAGAUCAGGUGGAAUGAAAGUCUGGCAUUCUGUGAGCUAUCAGCUUUUUCCCUUUCUUCUUCCCCAUCUCCACCUUCCCUUUUUUGACUAUUUGUUUAUGUCUCUUUUUUUUAUUGUUAAUAUUAUGUUUGUCUGAUUUAUCAUGCCAUUCAGUCAUAUCUACAUGGCUGAAUGGCAUGAUAAACAUAUGGCAAUUUUGCUAGUGAAUUAAAACUAGCUGUAACCAAUAGACAUAAUACCUAAUUAAGUUCCAACUACACAGAGGAAUAGCUAAUGAUUAGAGCCCUAAAAAAAUUCAUGGUCCAUUUUGGUCAAUUUCAUAAUCAUAGGAUUUUUUAAAUUUCAUAAUUAUGAUUUCAGCUAUUUCAAUCUGAAAUUUCACGG